UACGGAGGAUCCAAGCGUUAUCCGGAUUUAUUGGGUUUAAAGGGUGCGUAGGCGGCUUUGUAAGUCAGUGGUGAAAUAUGGCAGCUCAACUGUCAAGGUGCCAUUGAUACUGCGGAGCUUGAGUACAGAUGAGGUAGGCGGAAUUGACGGUGUAGCGGUGAAAUGCUUAGAUAUCGUCAAGAACACCUAUAGCGAAGGCAGCUUACUAGGCUGUAACUGACGCUGAGGCACGAAAGUGUGGGGAGCAAACAGG
rnacentral:rRNA from 1 species